UACGAACUGUGCAAACGUUAUUCGGAAUCACUGGGCUUAAAGGGUGCGUAGGCGGCUGUCUAAGUAGGGUGUGAAAGCCCCCCGGCUCAACCGGGGAAUUGCGCCCUAAACUGGAUGGCUGGAGUGAGGCAGGGGUGUGUGGAACUUCCGGUGGAGCGGUGAAAUGUGUUGAUAUCGGAAGGAACGCCGGUGGCGAAAGCGACACACUGGGUCUCAACUGACGCUGAGGCACGAAAGCCAGGGGAGCAAACGGG
rnacentral:rRNA from 1 species